rnacentral:misc_RNA from 1 species
GAAGAAUUUGAGAGUACCUAAUUUAUAAUUAAUUAGUGUUAACAAGUACUGGUGAUUUUAUUUAUAUACCUUAUUUACCUGUUUUAUAUAUUCUUCGGCCUGUGUCUUUACAUCACAAAUAAUCUUACGUAAUUGACUAAUUCAAUAGAUAUAAGAAUUAAAAAUAUAGUUUUACUAGCUGACCCCGCAAACUUUGUAUUGCCAUAUAUGUUAUAAACCCCCUAAAUCCCCCCCCCCCUCUCCGUAUAACUUAGAAAUAUGAAAAUAGAUGUUGGCCGAUUCCUACCCUAUCGGAUAUGCACACAAAAUUUCAUAAAAAUCUGU